CGGCUCCCUGGACUCUGGGUGCCAGAUGGCAGUGAGUGACGCCUUUCCUGCCCGUUUUCCCUGCCAGCGUGCCACAACGCCUGGCUGCAAGCGGAGGAGAAGCUAUUUCCCAUCCAUCUCUGGAGUGCUCUGCACCGUCUGCGACCCGCAGGGCUCGGCCGGGCGCUCGAGGCGCUGCCUGAACAAGCAGCGUCCUUUGGAAGUGUGAAAAACCAGAAGCGAGGAGCGCGGGAUCAAUGGCGACAAGGAACCGGAGAGGCACCAAAUCAUCGGAGACGAGAGCUGGCCAAGCAGAGACAACCCUCUGAAGGUCAUGGAAAAUCUGCUGGAAAUGUCUGUACGGAGGGAUGGAGGAACUGUGGUUUUCCUUUGCAGUCAUGAGUCAUAGCAAGGUGUCUGAAGCAGAGGGGGAAGAAGACUUUUAAAAGCCACCGGCGAUGGGGACAGAGGGACUGACAGACCGUGGACACAUCUACCACCUCGGGGCGACGCUUUGGGUUGAAAUGUAGCUAAACCCUCUGGCUGAUUCUGAAAAAAAAUCUUCGUUUGUGCCACCAGCUGCUGUUGAAGCACCUGAAGGACUGACCCCUGCUCAACACCUAUGAAUGAUCCACCCCCGGGACGCCGAGCGUUGCCAGGUUGUGCACGCUGAAAGAAGGAAAAAAAAAAAGAAACCUGCUAAUUAUAGUCUGUAUUUCUUUGCACAGUAGAAUAAGUGCCUUCAUAGAAAGAGGCUCCUUCAUCCACUAAUUAUCCUUCGUCUUGGACUUACGGAGGGAGACUGGGAAAAAGCAGUAGCGCUUCUUCAUGCUUAAGUUGCCUUUUCUGGGAAAUCAGAGAGACACAGCGGGCUGGGGUGUGUUUGAUUGAGGGUGCUGUUGAUUUUGCCUCCUGUUUUCCGAUGGCCAACGGGAAGUUAUAAAACCCUGAAAUAACUUUGAUUUUCUUGGGGGGAACGCUCCGCUUCAGAGAGUACCGUUUCCUCGCAGCGCGACUACAGGAACGGUCUAGAAGCGAUGUGAAAUCUCAUUUCCUGUUAGUCAUGGACAAACCACACCCAAGUCAUCGUUUCCUGCUUGCCACAGGUUGGAAAUUUGUCAUUUUAAUGUGACUGGAGAUCCCGCCAGAGACCUGAGCCAUCACCAGACAGGGCUAAAUCCCCCAUGGGACUCUCCCCCGGCGGCGGCUUGGCCCCGGGCCCCUCUGUAACCCUGUAAUUCAUCUCAUUGUGGGCCUGGAAAAAAAUCCGAACAGCUCAAGGCAGGGAGGGGAGACGCUUCUUUCUUCCUUUGCUUUUUGACCAUCUAUUUUUGGAAGGUGCUCUGCUCCUCCGGCAGCGAGGCGGCUCAGCAGCGUUGCUGCUAUUUUCUGCUUUUCGUCACCUUUUCUCAGAUUCCCAAACAACUGCCACCUCCUUCCCCUGGGACGGAUGCAUUUUGGUGAUGGACAGAGGACCUCGGAGUCCAGAGAUGGGAAUUAAUAAUUUAGGUUAAAUCUGGGGGCUGUUUCAACAGUCUUGUUGUUGGAGACAUUCCUCACAGGGCUGGUUGCUGGCAGAAGUCCUGCGUGGCCCGAGUCCCCACUGACUGUGGCCAUGAAGAUCCACACGGCACCAGCCAAGAUGCCCCAAAGGCUUCAGAAAACCACCACAGAGACCUCCAAGCUUCAUCCUGAUCUCAACAUCUCCUGCAACAAUUUUGAAUCCUCUAGGGCUGCCCAUGGCUGGAAAUUAAGAGACAUCAGCAACGGGUGGUGCCCCAGCCUCAUGCACGGGCAUCGGGGCAGCCCAGCCCCCUGGGGACCCUCAGGGGAGGCAGGGGGAUGCUGUCACCUGUGGUGGCUGCGUCCCCUCUGCCCGAGCGUCGAGACGGGCUGGAUUCACAGCAGGAGCAAUAAUUUGCAGAGCGUAUGCCAAGCCAGGAGCAUCAAGGAUAAAUCACUCAUAACUGGGAAGAUGAUAA